AGGGUGUAAACGCUGCAGACUUGGUGUUGGAGGCCCUUUGGGGGCAUUCAGUGCCGGAGAGAAGUUGUUAAGUCUGCUACUUGGGGAGUACGUCUGCAAGGAUGAAACUUAAAGGAAUUGGCGGGGGAGGCACCGCAACGGGAGGAGCGUGCGGUUUAAUUGGAUUCAACACCGUAAAACUACACCAGGGAAGACUGUUACAUGAAGGCCGAGAUGAAGACUCUGCUAGAUUUCUAGAGAGGAGGUGCAUGGCGUCAGUGACU
rnacentral:rRNA from 1 species